rnacentral:misc_RNA from 1 species
ACCUUUACCUUGAGGGAUGUGUUAUUUUGACUCAUAUGCCGCGUGGGAUUGGUCAAUUGACUUCCCUUGAGAAUUUAUCAGUAUUCAUGGUGGCCAAAGAUAAUGGUGUCUCCAAACAUAGCGGCGGACUCAGUGAAUUACGUGACUUGAACAAUCUGAGAGGAUGGCUACAUAUCAAGAAUCUAAGAUAUGUGAAAGAUCCG